GAAGUCUAGAGGGAGGAAAUGAGAGGAUGUCCUAUUCACAGAAUGGUGGAUGCCACCACCCAGCGACAAGCCAAAGGCGCCUUCUCAAAACUCUGACAAGUAGGGGAAGCAAGCCAGCCUGGCUCCCAGCUAUACCCAACAUGUCUCUUUGAAACUCACUUCAGGACCUAGGAAAGAGCUCAAGGACCAGGCCACAGGCUGUCUGUCCUACCUGAGCCUUCCAGUCACUUCCACAUAUUUCUGAAGACUGGAAGUUGAGAAAAAAAAAUUAAAAAGAAAAUGCUAAGAAAUGCCAAAGCUGGAUAUGUCAAGGGAUUAGAUAAAGUAGAGAACCUUCAUGAGAAGUGUACACACUUGUGAUACAAAGCUAAGCCACCAGGAACUACAAGGACUGAACCCAAAGUCUAAAUGUAUGUGAAAGAUGGCAUUGGAU